AAGGAAGGAAGGAAGGAAGGAAGGAAGGAAGGAAGGAAGGAAGGAAGGAAGGAAGGAAGGAAGGAAGGAAGGAAGGGUCCACCUGACAAGCAAGAGUCUGAUAAACAUGAACAAUUGAAGGGUUCCUUGGAAUUCUGAAUUAAUAGAAUAAGUAAUGGUUCUGCAGUCCUAGGUUAACGAGCCAUCGACAUGAAAAUACAAUAAGUCAUUCAUCCUGGUGAGAGAAGAUCCAGAAUGAAUGGAUGCCCAUAAAAGUGAUGGGAGAAGCACAAGGAGAAGGAUCUGUUUGGUUGCCUGGAGAGAUCAUGGAGUUUCCACCCUUGGAGAUAUUCAGAAGCCAUCUGGACCCAUCCAGGGCAACUGGCUCCAAAGCACCCUACUCAAUCAGGGGGGCUGGAGCAGAUGACUUCCAAAGAUACCUUCCAGCUUUGACCAUUCUGUGACUCUGUGAAAAACAGGGUUAUAAUCAUGCAUGCAUCAUUUCCUCAAGCUGAGUAUUGCCAGCACAAGGUUUUUCAGACUGAAGCCAUUAGAAACAUCUUGUUUGUACCAAGAUAAUAGUAAGUCUCCUUAUUUGUCUUUUAAAUUUUUCCAUGGUCUAAAUUCCCCUAAAUCUUGUAAUCACAGUCUUAGUUCUGAUGGCUCUGCUAUUAGGGACAUAGGGCUCACAACCUGAGGAUGUGCUUCCAAAACUAAACUGCUUAGGUUGAU